rnacentral:rRNA from 1 species
UACGUAGGGUGCAAGCGUUAAUCGGAAUUACUGGGCGUAAAGCGUGCGCAGGCGGUUUUGUAAGUCUGUCGUGAAAUCCCCGGGCUCAACCUGGGAAUGGCGAUGGAGACUGCAAGGCUAGAAUCUGGGCAGAGGGGGGGUAGAAUUCCACGUGUAGCAGUGAAAUGCGUAGAGAUGUGGAGGAACACCGAUGGCGAAGGCAGCCCCCCUGGGUCAAGAUUGACGCUCAUGCACGAAAGGAC